GACGAACGCUGGCGGCGUGCCUAAUACAUGCAAGUAGAACGCACAGUUUAUACCGUAGCUUGCUACACCAUAAACUGUGAGUUGCGAACGGGUGAGUAACGCGUAGGUAACCUGCCUGGUAGCGGGGGAUAACUAUUGGAAACGAUAGCUAAUACCGCAUAAUAUUGAUUAUUGCAUGAUAAUUGAUUGAAAGAUGCUAUUGCAUCACUACCAGAUGGACCUGCGUUGUAUUAGCUAGUAGGUGAGGUAACGGCUCACCUAGGCGACGAUACAUAGCCGACCUGAGAGGGUGAUCGGCCACACUGGGACUGAGACACGGCCCAGACUCCUACGGGAGGCAGCAGUAGGGAAUCUUCGGCAAUGGACGAAAGUCUGACCGAGCAACGCCGCGUGAGUGAAGAAGGUUUUCGGAUCGUAAAGCUCUGUUGUAAGUGAAGAACGGGUGUGAGAGUGGAAAGUUCACACUGUGACGGUAUCUUACCAGAAAGGGACGGCUAACUACGUG
rnacentral:rRNA from 1 species